rnacentral:misc_RNA from 1 species
GUGAAGAACGUAGCGAAAUGCGAUAAGUAGUGUGAAUUGCAGAAUUCAGUGAAUCAUCGAAUCUUUGAACGCACAUUGCGCCCCUUGGUAUUCCAUGGGGCAUGCCUGUUCGAGCGUCAUUUGUACCUUCAAGCUCUGCUUGGUGUUGGGUGUUUGUCUCGCCUCUGCGUGUAGACUCGCCUUAAAACAAUUGGCAGCCGGCGUAUUGAUUUCGGAGCGCAGUACAUCUCGCGCUUUGCACUCAUAACGACGACGUCCAAAAGUACAUUUUUACACUCUUGACCUCGGAUCAGGUAGGGAUACCCGCUGAACUUAAGCAUAUCAAUAAGCGGAGGA